AUUGAACGCUGGCGGCAGGCCUAACACAUGCAAGUCGAACGGUAACAGGAAGCAGCUUGCUGCUUCGCUGACGAGUGGCGGACGGGUGAGUAAUGUCUGGGAAGCUGCCUGAUGGAGGGGGAUAACUACUGGAAACGGUAGCUAAUACCGCAUAAUGUCGCAAGACCAAAGGGGGGGACCUUCGGGCCUCUUGCCAUCGGAUGUGCCCAGAUGGGAUUAGCUUGUUGGUGGGGUAACGGCUCACCAAGUCGACGAUCCCUAGCUGGUCUGAGAGGAUGACCAGCCACACUGGAACUGAGACACGGUCCAGACUCCUACGGGAGGCAGCAGUGGGGAAUAUUGCACAAUGGGCGCGAGCCUGAUGCAGCCAUGCCGCGUGUAUGAAGAAGGCCUUCGGGUUGUAAAGUACUUUCAGCGGGGAGGAAGGGAGUAAGGUUAAUACCUUUGCUCAUUGACGUUACCCGCAGAAGAAGCACCGGCUAACUCCGUG
rnacentral:rRNA from 1 species